rnacentral:misc_RNA from 1 species
CGGAGGAAAAGAAACCAACAGGGAUUGCCUCAGUAACGGCGAGUGAAGCGGCAACAGCUCAAAUUUGAAAUCUGGCCGCAAGGUCCGAGUUGUAAUUUGUAGAGGAUGUUUCGGGCACCGCCGCGGUGUAAGUUCCUUGGAACAGGACGUCAAAGAGGGUGAGAAUCCCGUCUUGGAUCGCGGUAGGGCUCGUGUGAAACUCCUUCGACGAGUCGACUUGUUUGGGAAUGCAGGUCAAAAUGGGAGGUAAAUUUCUUCUAAAGCUAAAUAUUGGCCCGAGACCGAUAGCGCACAAGUAGAGUGAUCGAAAGAUGAAAAGCACUUUGAAAAGAGAGUUAAACAGUAUGUGAAAUUGUUGAAAGGGAAGCGCAGGCAACCAGACUCGAGCGCGGGGUUCCCCUGGUUCUGCCAGGUCACUUCCCCGCGACCGGGCCAUCAUCAGGUUUGGGGGUCGGUCAAAGGCCCCGGGAAUGUACCUACUCCUUCGGGGGUAGACUUAUAGCCCGGGGUGUCAUGCGACCUCCCGGGCCUGAGGAACGCGCUUCGGCGAGGAUGAUGGCGUAAUGGUUGUCUGCGACCCGUCUUGAAACACGGACCAAGGAGUCUAACAUCUAUGCGAGUGUUUGGGUGUCAAACCCCGGCGCGGAAUGAAAGUGAACGGAGGUCGGAAGGCGCAAGCCCGCACGAUCGACCGAUCCUGAUGUCUUCGGAUGGAUUUGAGUAAGAGCAUAGCUGUUGGGACCCGAAAGAUGGUGAACUAUGCGUGAAUAGGGUGAAGCCAGAGGAAACUCUGGUGGAGGCUCGCAGCGGUUCUGACGUGCAAAUCGAUCGUCAAAUUUGCGUAUAGGGGCGAAAGACUAAUCG